AUAGCUAGAGUAAUAGAUCAUGUUAAUGAGGGUGCUUUGCCUUGCAAGCAGUAGAAACCAACUUACAGUCCCUUAAAACACAAAAGAGAAUUAUUUUCUUAUGUGACUAAAGAAGUUCAGAGGUGAUUUGAAUUUGAGCAGUGAUAAAUCUAGGUCCUCAAAUAAUGGUUCAGGAUUCAAUUUCUCAUUCUCCAGAGGUCAUCAUUGCAUGCUUCUUGAUUGGCUUUAUUCUUGGGCAGGGUCAUUUAUCCUGCUACUGUAGAUUUUUUCAUAAUCCCAGCCAGUGAUUGGGAUUCAUUCUGAUUGGCUCUGGCUAAAUGCAUCAUUGUGGCUUUUGCUACUAGAAUUUGGAAUUCUCACAUGCCUCUUUUGGAUUCAGGUUUGAGGUUACACUCCAGAAGGACAAAGAUUCAGAAUGGCAGGGGAGAGGAGCUCUGGAGACAUGCCAGGCUAUAAAAAACAUGUCUGCAACAUAGAUUUAAUAUAUUUAACUUUUCUCUAAACAUCAUUCAGUUAAAGAUUCAAGUAAAGAAUGAGAAUUCUGGCCUUGCUCAUCCACACAAAGACCUUAAGAAGAGCUGCUCUGUAUUCAUCCUAUGUGUAAAAUAGCCCUCCCAAAGGAACUCCAGACCAUCAUUGUUCUCCCUGUUUCUUCAGUAAUUGAUUCAGGAAGCUUACUUGAAGAAUGGGGUUUUCCACUCUAUUAUCACUACCACCGAAUAUGUUACACAUGGAUUGUCAAAAAUUUGAAUGCAAUAAAAUGAAUAGCAAUACA